rnacentral:tRNA from 1 species
ACUUAGGUAGUUUAAACUAAAAUAUCGAUUUGUGGUGUCGAGGAUGUAAAACUUUACCUUAGGUA